rnacentral:lncRNA from 10 species
GAAAAACACCAAACCAAAGAACAUGAAAUAAUUUCUAAACAUUUUUAUUUCAAAUCUCUUUUCACCCCUCCCCAAAAAGACAUGGGUAGGUACAGCAAUCAUAAAAAGGAGAUACAAACACAAGAGUCAAAUGUCUCUCGCACUGACACUUACAAAAAACUGGGAAUUGUACAUGGGGUUUCCAAACAGGACCUGCAGCAGCUACUAACGUCCCUUUACGAGAGUCAAACAUGCCUAUUAAUACAGUAUAUACAGACACCCCAUUCUGGAACUAAUCUACAGGGACAUCCCUAACCCCACCCCCUCUAUCCCCAGAAAAAUACCAAAACACACCCAAAGUGCAUUUGUUUUGUUUAUAUCAAAACCUCUUUCCCUUUCCCCAUCCCACCCUCAGACCCCUCCCACCCCAUUUAAGAUUGGCCUGCAAGUCUAUUUUAACCAUUUAGUAUUUUUUUAUAGUUUAUGAAAAUAAAUUAUACAGCAACUAUUUUAAUAAAUUAAGCACAAAAGGAAGGGUAAAAGAGGAAAACUAAAUGGGAAGACAAAAGCCAGGCCACGCUUUGGCUUGGAGGAGGGCAGAGGGGGGGCUAACGGAGACAGAAGUGGUUGCAAGGGGUGGCUCCCUUUCUGGUGAAAAAUUGGCAACCACCCCGAGCCCAGAAUGACACCCCUCUUCAUCGAGUUUCUUAAAAACAACCAAAAACGUACAGCAGUGGCUAUGCCACAGGCAGCACCAGUGUGGGCAUUCCAACAGCCAGCUACCCAAAGUGGCACCUGGACCCUACCUGUCCCUUGGACAGGUUCUGGGCCUAAGAGUGAGGGACAGGUCCCCGCCCAAGGGAGCACCAGAGAUGGAGGAGUGAGAGCAGGCUUCUGCUCCACCUGAGCUGGUUAGGGAGCUCAGGACGAAACUCUGAGCGGGGCAGUGUGGUAUGUGAUGAUCCCAGAGUCUGAGGAAGAGUGUCCUAAGUUCCUCACACUCUAUCUCCAGGAGGAACUACGAUCGCAGUCCAGCUGCAACCAAACAUGCAUGUCUUCCCGCCGUGGCUGGCUGCUUUCUGUCUGCCCCUCCAGGCCUCUUGGUGUUGCAGAGGAGGGGGUAGGAGAGGGAAAGGGAACGUACAACUCAUAACGCUACUUUCCUAACUGCAGUACCCGAGUCCCCAGCGCCUGUCUCUAUGAUCCAACCCCCAUUUCACUGCUCCCAAGACUUUGCUCUCCAUUUUAUCAAGGCCUCCAAUCAUUUUGUGCUGAGUGUGAAGGCUCCAAUGUGAAAGCAGGGUCUACCACAGGGACGUGCAGACUUGACCUUUGUGACCCAAUCAUUUUAUAGCUAUCGCAGCAUAGGAGGGGGGCACACUUUUCUUUCUUUUUUUUUUCUUUUUCUUUUUUUAAUAAAAAAGGUUUUACUCCCCAGGAGCAAAUAAAUCAUUUUGAACUACUGAUAAACACUGCUGCAGUGAAAAGAAAGAUGGCUACAUGUAUGCAAUAGCACAAAUUCAGUGGAAGAACAGCUGUGUUGACGAUUAGAGAUAAAAAUCACUUAUCCAUUCCCUCCUUUCCCACAAACCAAACCGAGGAUUCCCAUAGGGAAAAUGUCUAACUCAAUAGCUCCUCCCUUACAUGACAGGGGGUGUGUCAUUCUCUUAACAGUGGAAAACAAAUGCCAGGUCUCCGCCCAGUGGAGAUGCUCUUAACACCCUAACUGGUAGCAAGACUUCUGCAAAUGAGGACACACACACACACACACAUGCAUGCAUAUGCACACACACAGACUCAGACCUCCUUCCAGCAGCCAUAGAGCUUUAUCCCAGUGUCUUGUCCACUAACUUUAGGGCUCCAAAGCUAAGGGAGCGAGGCAGCAGGGAAGGGAAAGAUCUAACUGAAGGAAAAAGCUCCUCCUCGCCCCAGUUUCUGCAGGGAGCAGAGGGCUUCAAGCAGGCCAUGCUUUCCUGGGGGCCCUGGGGUGAGGGCUGACACGGCUGGAUUCCAGGGCACUUCUGGUUCUACUCCCACCUCUCACCCCUAGACCUAGGAACUAUAAUUACCCCCACUCCCUAAUUCUUCCUGGAUGUCUGUUACAGGGGUGUCUGCAGCUAUCUCCACACCAUCCCCAACCUCAAGGGGGGCUUACAUCAUUAGCCCAAGUGAAAUGUAGGGAAGGGGAAGGAGCAGGAGCCAUGCAGGAGUUUCCUUUGGCCACACCUUUCUCCUCAGGGAGGUGGCGCCACCUCCAUGGCUCAGGUUCCAAGAUGUAACAUUCACUUGGCCUAGGCACAGGCAGGUGACCAGGCAAAGGUCAGCACCAAUGGUCCCAAAGAGCCGGUUGCCACCCACUUACCUAGUGCCCACACCAAAACCCCCGCCCGCCUACUCCUGUGCUACCAACAUAGCACACGAAUUUCAAGUAACAGCAAGUUGUAGCAGUAGUUGUCACUGGCUCACAGCAGCUCACUCUCAACCUGAGGAAGGUUACAGUAGAUCAGUCAUAAACAGGUGAGGGUUAUGCAGGCACUGAGGCCACUGAUAUCACCCACCCACAACUUAGGAAUCAACAGUGGGUCCCUAGAUGUAAGCCUUUUCCAAUUUGUGACUUGAAAAUACAACCAGAAAGAAAUUAUUUAUUUUUUUUGAGAUGGAGUCUCACUCUGUCGUCUAGGCUAGAGGGCAGUGGCGCAAUCUCGGCUCAGUGCAACCUCCGCCUCCUGGGUUCAAGCAAUUCUCCUGUCUCAGCCUCCCAAGUAGCUGGGACUACAGGCGCAUGCCACCAUGCCCAGCUAAUUUUUGUAUUUUAGUAGAGAUAGGGUUUCACUGUUUGGCCAAGCUGGUCUUGAACUCCCGACCUCAUGAUCCACCCACCUCAGCCUCCCAAAGUGCUGGGAUUACAGGCGUGAGCCACCGCGCCCAGACCUAGAAAGGAAUACAUUUAAAUGAGCUCUGCACAGCACUGGCGAAGGAGGGACGGGCCUGGUCAGGGAGGUGAAGGGCAGGUGCUGCCACACCUGCUCCUCUGCUCCAUUUACUCUCUGACCAGGCUGUAUCCCAGAGAGCUGGCCCAGCCCCAUGCCUCCCCCUCAUCUUCCCCUAACUGCUCUGUGCAAGGCCACCCAUGCAGGCACCAAACACCCACACCUGACGAAGACUGUCUCCUCUUGCGCUGCUGUUUUGCAGCCCACUCCACAGAGAAAGGACUAGGCUGCGGCCAGGGCUGGGACCAGUGCACUGACACAGACACAGUUCAACACGACACUCCCCAGGAGGAGAAAGGUGGGUGGUGAGGUUGGGUCACACCUCCUCAGUUGGUUUGUUUUGUACCUGAAUGUAUGAGUUCUCCAGAAGAAACCCCAGUAACACAGGGGGUGCAGAGGCUCUGCCUCCCUCACAUGGCCUGAGCUGACCAUAGUGAGGCCCUGGCAAUGGGCAGGAGCCUUGCUGACUCCUUUGGGCUUUGGGCUCCACCUCACCAUCAUAACCCCUUGGCACUCAGGUCUGCCUGGUGGCUGGGAAGCUUCCAUCUAGAAAACCGCACUGGAAAGGAUUCUUUAACCAUGUUGCUCUAACAGGGCUGUGCACUGUUCAGUACAUGCCAUGCAGAUUUCUGCUUCCUUGCUUUUGCUCAUGUGUUUUUCAUCUCACUGUCUGUCCUGCCAUUGACUACAACCCAAAGCCUCAGAGGCACAGAACUUUCCCAGACCAUCUGGUCUACCCUGAUCUUAUCUACUAUAAACGUCUUUAGAUAGUCCUUGAUUUUCUGCUUGAUGUGCAGCAGUCACCUAAAAGCUCCCUUAGGCCACAUAUUACGUCUUUUACCUUUUUUGUUUUCUACAAUAUCUAGCGCAAAGCCAGGCACACACACACUAAAAAAUAAUAUUAAAAUUAUGGGUGGUUGAAAAGGAACAAAAAAAAGAAAGAUCCCAGGCUGUAUAUCAGCCACCCAAGGAUCUCAACAGAUUCCAACUUCAGGCUCUAUAUUGGGGUGGCACUUCCUGCAAGAUGGCGAGUUAUAUUACUUGUACUCUCACGAGGCAACACUCACAUGCUAAGCCAAUUUCUGGGAUCACAAUCUUGCUUAGUUGAUAAUACUACCAUGGAAGCCAAGGAAAGAAGAGGUACCACAUGACAAAUCAGAGGUGGGCUGUGUUUAUGGUGCACAGCUCAUCUUGUGGGCCACCCUUCCACAGUCAGGUAAUGGUGCAAGUUUCCUCCCUGUUCAGCUACAAGGAGGAAGACUGGUCACUCCACGUGGGACUAAGGAAGAAGGCAAUGCUCCCAGAUGAGGCAGUCCUAUAAAUUACCAGGACACUGGGGCCCCACCCAAACCAUCAGGAAGCCACAAACCUGACAUUAGUAUCUGUCUUGUGACACGAGGCAACUAUAAGCAUGGGGAACCCAGAAAGAGAGUCCCAUGGAACACACGCAAAGGAGUCAUGAAGACCCAACAGCUCCACUGUUACAUCUCAAUAGCAAACCUCUCCCCAGAGCAGCUCUAUAAGAAAGCAAACUCACAAUGUCAUAUGAAUUGGCCAUGGCCAGCUGCAGAAACCAUUAAAGACCAUUGGAGUUUUUCUCCCCGCUCCUCCUGAAAGCAGGGACAGGCAGCUCUCAAAUCGGCAUCUGGCAGACUUUCCAGUGAGUGGAGACCAGCAGGAUCUGAUCCGGAAAUGUCUGGGUUGCUAGAAUGAACACAAGAAAAUACAGAAGCCCUUGCUACCUCCCAUCCCAGAAGUGGGAUGGCAGUGAUAAACCUAAAAACGUGAGAUGCGAUGCUCUCCUCUGACCUAAGGAAAUCCCGUGAGGGCUGCGUUCUGAGAGCUUCCUCUAGGAAGAGCACAACUGUGGGAGCUGUAUUUCUCACCUUCCUCCACAUUCCCCCUCACAAGCUGACAGGCACAUGGAAGUAACACUCACUCCUAAGUCAUGAGUACAGUUUGCCAUGAAGAACCUGGAAACAUGCUCCAUUAAAUUCAGCAGCCCAUGACUGGCUCUGAACCGCCCAGGUGAUGGGAAACACGAUUGCCAUGACAGCUGGCAGAAGCAAUAGGGAUGCUGUUACCAUGAUCAGAGUGACAUGUACAGUUAUCUCAAGGGGCAAUGGGUUGAGAGCAGAGGAAGAACGGGGUUAACUUCAGGUCAUGGAACUUAAGGAAUUAAGUAAAUCACAACUAGUACAGCUUCCAUGAGAGGUGUUUCUGAACUCAGGUUCCUAAACCUUAAAAAAGGAUGCAGGAGUCACUACUUCUCCCAGCUAAGGCCAAUUGGCUAGGUUUUGCCCAAUAUUCUUUUCGAGACCACCCACCCUCCUUUCUCUCCUGCUCCUACAACAGCUGCCCAUGGCAACAAGAGGCAGAUUCCCCCUUCCUCAGGAACUCCCAGUCCUUUGCAAACCUCAAGCCCCUCCUCCCAUCUUCCAGGCCCACAGCACAGACUCUAACUCUGCCUUUGGCACCAGCUGAAUGGCCGUCCCCUGUUCCCUCCUCCCACCCCUUCUUUGGACCUGCUCACCCUUCGCACCACUUUCAAUCCAACGGGCACAAACCCCAACUGCCUUCAAGGUGAGUUUUCCAUACCAAGUAAUAUAAAUAUCAAAAACAAAACUUCUGAAAAAGAAACAGUGUUGAGACUUCUUCCAGUUUUCCAAGGAGCCCCUCCAGUCCUAAGAUGCCCAGGGGUGGGUGUGAGGUGGAG